GAGCGAGAGAGAGACAGAGAGAGAGACUCAUUGGGAUUCAGUAGAGAUAACUGACCACUGCAAUCAACAGCAAACACCUCGAGAUGACAGAGCAUACAACCAUGCCGACAACCAUCCAUGAAGAUCAGUGAACAAAGGGCUGGACAACGGGCCACACCGGAAAAACUCAUGGUUGCCAAGUAAGAGUGACACUGACUCCGAAUGGGAGCCCUAACGUGCUAACGUGUCCAUCCCCCUCUGAAGCUGGUUCAUUCAGCUGGACCCCUGCUGUCUCUGGCUCCACACCUCCCGGGCCAUCUAGAGGUAAACUGUUCAUAUUUACUCUUGAGGUGCUGUCCUGUUGCACCCUCUACAACCACUGUGAUUAUUAGUGUCUGACCCUGCUGGUCAUCUAUGAACGUUAGAAAAUCUGUUCUGUUAUAAUCUCCACCCGGCACAGCCAGAAGAGGACUGGCCACCCCUCAUAGCCUGGUUCCUCUCUAGGUUUCUUCCUAGGUUUUGGCUUUCCAGAUAGUUUUUCCUAGCCAACGUGCUUCUACACCUGCAUUGCUUGCUGUUUGGGGUUUUAGGCUGGGUUUCUGUACAGCACUUUGAGAUAUCAGCUGAUGUACGAAGGGCUAUAUAAAUUGAUUUGAUUUGAUAGAGGACUGAGGGUCUUCCAAAUAUUGAAAGUGUGUAAAUAGUUCCCCAUGUUAUUUUGUAAAUUUAUUUUUUUUUUUUUUUUUUUUUAUAUUUAUUUUUCCAUUUUUUUCCCUCCGUUUUUUGGGGGGGUGUGUUAGAGUACCAUUUUGGUAUUUUGUAUAUAGUUAAUUGUAUCAAAAUGUAUACCUUCACCAAUUUGGCCACUUGGGUACAUUUGGGCUACUUGUGUGGGACACCUGGGUGACUUCAUGAUAAAUGUCAUGUAGCACACUCAUUUUGGAACUUAUCAUUCUGAAACUUUACACAAGUACUGUUGCCCUCUUCUGUUUUUCACUGAAAUUGUACCCAUAUUCAUAUCUGAAUGUUUGUUUUUAUCUUGUUCAUUUUAAAGAUGAUGAUACAACAAUUAAAAAGAAAAAACAUAUGGUUUUUUCAUUGUAUUAUCUAAA